rnacentral:lncRNA from 1 species
UUUCAUUUAUAUAUGCACAUGCGGAAGCAGUUAUAAAUCCCCAGACAAUAAAGCAAUGGGAUAGAAAAGCAGGCCAUACAUUUCUCAUACUGAAAAUUCACAACUACAUCUUUUUACAUGCAAACAAGGACUGACAAGACUGGACGGGAUCUCAGUCCUCAUCCGGGUCGUACUCGGGGUCCUCCUCCACGUACUCCUCUUCGGGUUCCUCAUCAGGGACCUCCUCAUCAGAUUCAUGCUCCUUAGGCUCCUCAUCCAAGUCCUGAAAUGGUUAUUCAAUAACCACUGAGACCACGUCUCAGCAAGUUCUACUCCCUAAGACCCGAUUAGUAAACUAAUACACCUUAGGGCUGCCUACGCACAACAUGAGUCAGAUGACGUACCUUAGCCUCAGAUUCCACCUGCAUAUUAGUACAGUUCGAAUAGGCACACAAACAAUCACAUCAUAGAUCGAAGCAUCGAUCUAAUCGACUUAGUCGAUUUCACAUCAGGAAGACCACUCACGAUCAUCUCCCUUCAAUCAUUCAAUUCAACACAUC